rnacentral:misc_RNA from 1 species
GAUGAAGAACGCAGCGAAAUGCGAUAAGUAAUGUGAAUUGCAGAAUUCAGUGAAUCAUCGAAUCUUUGAACGCACAUUGCGCCCCUUGGUAUUCCGAGGGGCAUGCCUGUUCGAGCGUCAUUAUAACCCCUCAAGCUCAGCUUGGUGUUGGGGCCUGCUGCACUCGCAGCCCUUAAAAUCAGUGGCGGCGCCAUCUGGCUCUAAGCGUAGUAAUUCUUCUCGCUAUGGAGUCCUGGUGGAUGCUUGCCAUCAACCCCCAAUUUUUCUAUGGUUGACCUCGGAUCAGGUAGGGAUACCCGCUGAACUUAAGCAUAUCAAUAAGCGGAGGA